AAGUCGUAACAAGGUUUCCGUAGGUGAACCUGCGGAAGGAUCAUUAUUGUAGGUGCCUUCGGGCCCGCUAAAUCAAUAACCCUUGUCUUUUUUUGUGCACCCCUUGUUUCCUCGGCAGCUUUGCCUGCCAACGAGGACCCCCCAAAAACCUUUUGCAAUCCUAGUAUAACUAUCAGAAAACAAACAAUAAUUAAAACUUUCAACAAUGGAUCUCUUGGCUCUG
rnacentral:misc_RNA from 1 species